rnacentral:rRNA from 1 species
UACGUAGGGUGCAAGCGUUGUCCGGAAUUAUUGGGCGUAAAGGGCGCGUAGGCGGUGCGGUAAGUCACCUGUGAAAUCUCCUGGCUCAACUGGGAGCUUGCAGGCGAAACUGCCGUGCUGGAGUGUGGGAGAGGUGCGUGGAAUUCCUGGUGUAGCGGUGAAAUGCGUAGAUAUCAGGAGGAACACCGGUGGCGAAGGCGAGUCCCUGGACAGGUCCUGACGCUGAGGCACGAAAGCUAGGGGAGCAAACAGG